rnacentral:rRNA from 1 species
GUAGUCCACGCCCUAAACGAUGUCAACUAGCUGUUGGGUUCUUCGGGACUUAGUAGCGCAGCUAACGCGUGAAGUUGACCGCCUGGGGAGUACGGUAGCAAGAUUAAAACUCAAAGGAAUUGACGGGGACCCGCACAAGCGGUGGAUGAUGUGGAUUAAUUCGAUGCAACGCGAAAAACCUUACCUACCCUUGACAUGUCCGGAAGCUCGAAGAGAUUUGAGUGUGCUCGCAAGAGAACUGGAACACAGGUGCUGCAUGGCUGUCGUCAGCUCGUGUCGUGAGAUGUUGGGUUAAGUCCCGCAACGAGCGCAACACUUGUCAUUAGUUGCUACGAAAGGGCACUCUAAUGAGACUGCCGGUGACAAACCGGA